CUGCGCCCCUCCUGGUUCCUCAGCCGAUCACUUCAGUUACUGAUCGCCAAGCCAGUGCUGCAGCGGACGAUCCUGCGUGCCCGGUUUAAGCUGCCUUUUAAUAAAUAUCAGAGUUUUCUGCUCA